rnacentral:rRNA from 1 species
UACGGAGGAUGCGAGCGUUAUCCGGAUUUAUUGGGUUUAAAGGGUGCGUAGGCGGACUGUUAAGUCAGCGGUAAAAGCCCGGGGCUCAACCCCGGGACUGCAUUGGAAACUAUGUAACUAGAGUACCGGAGAGGUAAGCGGAAUUCCUAGUGUAGCGGUAAAAUGCGUAGAUAUAUGGAAGAACACCAGUGGCGAAGGCGGCCGCCUGGCCUGUUGCUGACGCUGAGGCACGAAAGCGUGGGGAGCAAAAAGG